GAGAGCAGGACAAGCCGGUUGUCCCCCAAACCAUCCCUUUUCUACUGUGCUGCGGCUUCUGAGCAGGACUGCCCUGAAGAAUGUUAUUGCCGGAAGAAACAAAACAGAAAUGCACAACAAAAGCACUGACAGAUGCCCAUCCAGCCUGUUUAAAAGCCUCCAAAGAAGGAGCUUCCACCAGACUCCAAGGCAGAGAGUUCCACUGCUGAACAGCACUUCUUACGCCUUCCUUCUCCCAUGAUGUCAUCAAUACAGGAAGGGAUUAAAAUCCAUGUGGGCUCACGGUACAUACAGCAAAAGCAGUCUUCCCUUUCCUUUGAAGCAACUUCCACAAAUGUAGUAGGUUGCCAUUUAUAGUCAUAAGGAAAAACUGCUGCCUAUAGCAAGAGGUAUGGGGAUCCUGGCUGUCUUACUGAACUCUCAUGUGGAGAGUUCUGCAAGGAGGAUCUGCAGUUGCUCCAAAAGAUUGUGUAAAAGAUUGUGAACUCCUGCACUAUCUACCUAGGGCCCCUGGUGUCACAGCGGGUUAAACUACUGAACUGCUGAACUUGCUGACCGAAAGACAUUCAGUUCGAAUCCGGGGAGCAGGGUGAGCUCCCACUGUUAGGCCUAGCACCUGCCAACCUAACAGUUCGAAAACACGCAAAUGUGAGUAGAUCAGUAGGUACCGCUUCUGCGGGAAGGUAACAGUGCCCAUGCAGUCAUGUUGGCCACAUGACCUAGGAAGUGUCUACAGACAACGCUGGCUCUUCAGCUUAGAAAUGCAGAUGAACACCAACUCCCAGAGUUGGACACGACUAGAUUUAAUGUCAGGGGAAAUCUUUACCUUUACCUACGUUAUAACUACCUCUCUCCCUCUCUCUAGGUGGGGUGAAAAUCCAGUGAUGGAGUUGCUUGUAAUGUUUUUUACAGCUGCCUGUAUGGAAACAUCAAAUUUUUGGUGCAUGUCAUAGGCUGUGGUGAGCAUGCUCUUAACAGGUGAAAAAACUGAAAUAGCUAUUAGCUAGCAAAGGUAUUGGGGAAAAGAAACAGGAUCAGAGAAAGGCCGAUGUAGAGG